AUUGAACGCUGGCGGCAGGCCUAACACAUGCAAGUCGAACGAGUGGCGGACGGGUGAGUAAUGUCUGGGAAACUGCCUGCUGGAGGGGGAUAACUACUGGAAACGGUAGCUACUACCGCAUACCAUCGGAUGUGCCCAUAUGGGAUUAGCUAGUAGGUGGGGUAACGGCUCACCUAGGCGACGAUCCCUAGCUGGUCUGAGAGGAUGACCCGCCAAAUUGGAACUGAGACACGUUCCAGACUCCUACGGGAUGCAGCAUGGGGGAGUAUUGCACAAUGGGCGCAAGCCUGAUGCAGCCAUGCCGCGUGUAUGAAGAAGGCCUUCGGGUUGUAAAGUACGUGCAGCGGGGAGGCGUUACCCGCAGAAGAAGCACCUGCUAACUCCGUGCCAGCAGCCGCGGUAAUUC
rnacentral:rRNA from 1 species